UACGAAGGGGGCUAGCGUUGCUCGGAAUCACUGGGCGUAAAGCGCACGUAGGCGGCUUUUUAAGUCAGAGGUGAAAUCCUGGAGCUCAACUCCAGAACUGCCUUUGAUACUGAGGAUCUUGAGUUCGGGAGAGGUGAGUGGAACUGCGAGUGUAGAGGUGAAAUUCGUAGAUAUUCGCAAGAACACCAGUGGCGAAGGCGGCUCACUGGCCCGGUACUGACGCUGAGGUGCGAAAGCGUGGGGAGCAAACAGG
rnacentral:rRNA from 1 species